CAUUUCCAUUCCUUAUAUGCAAAUGAACGGGGCGUGGUUAGCUCACAGGUCCAGAGACCCAGACCAAAGCAACAGCACCACACUGACUACUCGAGAAGAGGAAGAAAAUGGAGGAGAAGGACUAUAAGGCAAACUACUAAAUGAAAAUAACAACAUGGAAGACGUCGGUGGGCUCCAAGACUUAACUGGUUCUUAUCUGGUCUUCUCUGGUCUUAUCUGGUCCGCCCAAUGCUGCUCUUCUGAGAGCAACCGCUCUGACAGCUCUCUCUAGUCUCUACUGGGAAACAGCUAAAAGUCCUUCUGGAGGCUUUGCAUUUGAACUCCUAUGACUGGUUGCGGACUUGAAGGGAACGCCUUCCUGACAUCCAGGAAAAAGUUUUAUUGGACAGGCAGUAGAGAUCUACUGGAAACAGUGGAGAGGGAGGAGAUGAUAUGCAGCAUACGGCCC